GGACUGAGCGCUCGGAACUGGCUCGGCGGCUGCCUGGGCGCGCUCCAGCGCCGGCAGCCAGGGAGAGCUCGCCCGGCCCCGCCGGUCCUGCGCUUCGCAGCAGCCGCUCGGGCACAGGGGGCUGCUGCCGCCGGAGAGAAUGCAACUGAUCUGCAAAUGUCAAAGGGGGGCUGAAGGUCACAAUGGCCAUAAAUUAGGCCUUGGCUUACCACCUAUGGAGUUAGAGGAUCCCCCAGCACGCUAACGGUGUGACCCUUGAACAUUCAACCGGUUAGCCCAAUGCAGCCUGUCAUCAACCCGCCCUCCUGAACUGAGCCCCUACCUCAUUCAGGAAACUGGAUGGCCUGUGCACUGAGGAUGACACAGGAUCAUGUAGUGGAGGCAGCUGUCUGGAGGACUCCUACC